GAGUUUCUGGGGUGUGCGGGUCGUUUACAGGCUUUGGCCAACGUUCAGUAUGACCUGUCAAUCCGUGGAGAGGCGGUGAGCAAGCCAGCCCUGAGCAGGACGCCUAAAGUCCCUCCCGACGACAAGAUUAGCCUUCAGGUCAUCUGUCCUGAAACAAACCGGCAUCCCGGAAAGUAU
rnacentral:other from 1 species